rnacentral:snoRNA from 1 species
CUAGCACUUUCACAGGUCCUCCCCUAUGCAGUGGGGUCAGGAUUUGGUAGCUGGUGCUGAGAGAAAACUCUUGAUUGCGUCCUUGCCCUGGCUCUGUACCAGUGGCAACCGUCGCUCAAUGGGACAGAG